GGGAGGAAAAGCGGUCGACUGUGCGGCUUUCCCACAUCGCCCUUCUGUUUUACUGCUAAUGAGGGGUUGGAUGCUUGUCCAAGAUAAGGUUUAGUGAAUUCGUGAUGAGUCUAAUGAAACAGAAGCACGUGUUUUCUGCCCUUUACAGGAUUCCUAGACGGAUUGUUGGGAUUACAGCUAUGCCACCCUGUCUGUUUUUCUCUGAGGUUUGGGUACUGAGAAUUAAAUCCCCAGCUUUGUGAAUGAUAGGAUGUCACCGCAUGGAGGCCCAGCGAGCCCCUUACGUGAACUGUGAAGGUGAAGCCUGGAUUGUUUUGGAGAUCUCAAGAUGUUAGAGAUGCCAGAGCUGUGGGAUACUGGCCAAAGAGAUCUGCAGACCAGCUGUAGAAACAGCCCAAGGGACAGAAGUUUGUGCUACAGUUGGCAGAGAUGGCAGGGUGAAGCUACUCAAGCAUUUUGUCCCUCACUUGAUUACAUUGUAAGCUCAAGGUGCUAGACUUGGAGCUCCAAAACUUGGUGUUUUCCCCACUGGAUUUUGGUUUUGUAGUGGUGUGAUUAUUUUAUUCCUUGGCUCUUUAUUUUUAUAUUAAUGUUUAUUUUGUGCCAUUGUAUGUUGAAAGUAUAUAGUUUGCUUUUUAUAGAGAGUAAAGAGAACUUAGGCUUUUAGUAUUGGAAGUUUUCAAGACUGAAGAUUUUUGAAGUUGGACUGUAUUUUACGUUAUGAGUUAAACCCAAGACUUUGGGCACAAGAGGUAAAAAGUUAUGGCUUAAAGUUUUGUGUUUGUGUGUCAAAUUAAUUGUCAACUUGACAUAAUCUAGAAUCAUCUGGAAGAAGGGCCUCUGAGAAUAUCUCUAAGGGAUUAUCCAAUUACAUUGAUAUGAGAGGACCCACCCACUGGGGGUGGCAUGGUUGCCUGGGAUUGGGGUCCUGGACUAUGUAAGUGGAGAAAGUAAGCUGAAGGGUAACAACCACUCUUCCAUGAAUAUUCUCUGUCUAGUUUUGACUGUGGAUGUGAUUGAUCAGCUGUUUCAAGUCUCUGAUGCCUUCAUUUCCCCACAAUGAUGGACAGUAACUUGGAACUGUGAGUCCACAUAAACUUUGUCCCCUAAAUGUCACUGGUGAGCAACAGGAACAAAACUAAGACACAGUCUGCUAAUGUGACAUUUUACAGUCAGUCAUAUAAGACACAGAACUGAAGGUAAACAUGAGGAAGUGCCCAAACAGACUGGGGUCUCUGCUAUUGACAAGAAUAACUUAGAACUAUAAUCACAUUCUUGUUACUUUAGGACCAUCAGAGCAAACAGAAAAUGUAUGCCUAUUACCCCUUUCUCACCUGUCCCUUUAAAAAGUCCAAGCUUAAAUCUCUUGGAAAGUUGAAUCUUAGAUAUUGAUUCAAAAUAUUCUUCCAAAUUGACUUAGACAUACUUCAGAUGGGUGCCAUUUGUUUCAUACCAGUAUUAAUCUUUAAUACUACAAACUCCUAAAUCUUAGGUUUCCACAAAUGGCUUCUCAAAACAUUCUAUUGUUAUAGAAUUUAUUUUAGAUUAAUCAUCCAGAAAAGGAAAAUUCAGACAUGAUAAUCCAUACCUGUAACGUCUUCACUUGGGAAGCUAAGGCAGAUGCAUUGCUAAUUCAAGCCUGGUCUGUGUGACAUAGUGAGUCUUUAUCUAAAGGAAAACAGAAAAGAAACCAAUAAACCAAGGUUAUGAUAACACUAAACAUGUUAGACUCUCACCAUAUAACAAGAAUAAAAUAAUUGGUUUUAUAGAUUAUAACAUUGAUUAUGAGACUAAAUUUUUACUAAAUGUUGCUGCAAUUACCUCAAAUAAUACUGACC